rnacentral:rRNA from 1 species
AUUGAACGCUGGCGGCAUGCUUUACACAUGCAAGUCGAACGGUAACAGGCCUUCUGGUGCUGACGAUUGGCGAACGGGUGAGUAAUGCAUCGGAACGUGCCCAGCGGUGGGGGAUAACGCAGCGAAAGCUGUGCUAAUCCCGCAUGUGAUCUGAGGAUGAAAGCGGGGGACCAGGCAGCAAUGUUUGGCCUCGCGCCUUUGGAGCGGCCGAUGUCAGAUUAGGUAGUUGGUGGGGUAAAGGCCUACCAAGCCGGCGAUCUGUAGCUGGUCUGAGAGGACGACAAGCCACACUGGGACUGAGACACGGCCCAGACUCCUACGGGAGGCAGCAGUGGGGAAUUGUGGACAAUGGGCGCAAGCCUGAUCCAGCAAUGCCGCGUGCGGGAAGAAGGCCUUCGGGUUGUAAACCGCUUUUGUACGGAGCGAAAAGGCUCUGGCUAAUACCUGGGGCUGAUGACGGUACCGGAAGAAUAAGCACCGGCUAACUACGUG